ACUCCAAAACAAAGAAAUUCAGCUUUCAACUCAAUAACCUGUCAAGACAAUGCCAGGAAAAACCCAGGGCGAGUAGAAGAAACUGAUGGCAACCGAAGGCGAAAUUAAUGUCCCGGGGACAAAGAGAAGGACGGACGAGGUCUUCCAGAUGAAAAGGCAGCUCUUGGGAGCAGCAAGAAAACUGACACACCUCCGGUGAGAUGAAUUUCUUAAAAAAGGCAAAAACAAGUUUCGGAAGGAAAGGGGGACCUCGGUAUUAGAUAGAGAAGAGAUCUGAGAAGUGAGCAAAUAUCUCAGCCUUGGUCAGUUCACCAAGAAACGGAGCCUGCUACCCACACGGAUGCUGGGGUGGAGACGGGUCUACGACGACCACCCUGUGGUUCACACCUUGGUGUGACCUGCACCCUGAGGGUGGGCUGGACCCCGUGACUGACUUCCAACAAAAAGAGAAGGACAAACGUGACGGAGGGGGGCCUCCGAGAUGAGGUUCACAGCACUGGACUGCUUGCUGCCCCCUCCUUUCCUCUCUCUCUCUCUGACGGACAAGUUUCCAUCCGCUGGGGAGCCCUCAGAACGAUACCUGGCAAGGACCUAAAUCCUGACAACCCGUGAGUGAACUUGAAGAGGGAGCUGGCCCUGUCGAGCCUUCAGAUAAAACCACAGCCCCAGGCAACACUUUGGUCACAGCUUGUGAGGGACGUCAGGUCUGAGGACCCAGCUAAGCCGCUGGAUUCCUGGACCACAAAACAGUGAGAUGGCAAGAGUUGGGGUCCUUUGUUACACAGCAACAGGUGACUAACAUAGAUCACUCCCUAGAAAAGUAACACCAAAUCCUAUUCAACAAGGAUUGGAAAAGCUGAACAGAUCUGCCACCAUUAAAGAAAUUGGCCAGAACAUACAAAUCUGUCUACACAAAUGCCAGGUCUAGACCAAGAAGGUACCUAAGAAACACAUAACCUCAAUCUUCCAUAAGUUCUUUUAUACAACAGAAAAAGGCAAGAUCGCCCACUCAGGUGAUGCCACGGGUAUAAGCCACACCAAAUCUGGACAGGACAGUACCAUAAAGGACAACCGCAAUCCACACACACUUCUGAAUACAGGUGCGAAAAAUCCUAAACAAAACAGUAACAAACCGGAGUUCCCAUCGUGGCUCAGUGGUUAACGAAUCCGACUAGGAACCAUGAGGUUUCGGGUUCGGUCCCUGCCCUUGCUCAGUGGGUUAACGAUCUGGAGUUGCCGUGAGCUGUGGUGUAGAUUGCAGACGCGGCUUGGAUCCCGCGUUGCUGUGGCUCUGGCGUAGGCCGGUGGCUACAGAUCCGAUUCGACCCCUAGCCUGGGGAACCUCCACAUGCCGCAAGAAAUAGCAACAACAACAACAACAAAAGACAAAAAAAAAAAAAAAAAAAAAAAAAAAAAAAAACAGUAACAAACCAAAUAUGAAUGCAAUAAAAAAUACCACAUAGCCGGGAUGGGAUAUUUCCAAAAAAGCAAGAAAAUCGCUCAUGUACUUCACCAAAGUGACUGAUAAGAGGAGAAAAUCUUACAUAAUUAGCUCAAUACAUGCAGAAAAAGUCUUUGAUGAAACAUCUUCAGUAAAAUAUUCAUAUAAAUAAGAACUUUCUUAACCUGAAAGGGGGCAUUUACAGAAAAAUAAGCAUGGAGUUCCCGUCAUUGCUCAGUGGUUAAUGAAUCUGACUAGGAACCGUGAGGUUGUGGGUUCGAUCCCUGGCCUUGCUCAGUGGGUUAAGGAUCCAGCGUUGCCGUGAGCUGUGGUGUAGGUUGCAGACGCGGCUCGGAUCCGGCGUUGCUGUGGCUCUGGCGUAGGCCGGUGGCUACGGCUCCAAUUGGACCCCGAGCCCGGGAACCUCCAUAUGCCGCGGAAGCGGCCCAAGAGAUAGCAACAACAACAAAAGACAAAAAAACUAAAAAAAAAAAAAAAAAAAUUUUAGGCUUCCCCUCUGCCCCCACCCCCAAAAGAGCUUUUUACGGAGCUCCCUGCUGGCGCAGCAGUGAGAGAUCCAGCUUCGUCACUGCUGAGGUUCUGGCCACUGCUGCGGUUCCGGUUUGAUCCCUGGCCCUGGAACUUCCACAUGCUGUGGGCACGGCCAAAAAAAAAAAAAAAAAAAAA
rnacentral:lncRNA from 1 species